CUGCUCUAAAGCAUCAGUUUUCCCCAGCUGCAAAUCUAACAGCAAUUGAUUUCCCUGACCUCAAGGACUAUCCUGUGGCUGUGAUAGCGACCUCUGCCUGGCCCAUCGAUGAGCCCUCCUGGUGUAGCAGGAACUUUCUGAAGAAACGAAAAAAAGCAUUUGAGUGAGAUGCCUGGUGUGUGUCCCUAGGACAGGGGACAGCACCUUUGCAGAGUUCCCAUUUUCACCUUCACCUUUGUUCUGCACUGGAAAGUCUCUCAUCCAAAUCCCUGGCACAGACCCAAAAUCUACCUUUGAAGGGAACCACUUCACAAACUACAACACACAAAAAGUGCUGUCAAACCAAAUUGAUUUCCAGUCAUGUUAACCUGGGCAGGAUCAGCAAACCUACUCCCCCAGGUGAAAAGCCAGAACGGCAAGGAAACCGCUCGAGCUGGC
ensembl:lncRNA